rnacentral:rRNA from 1 species
UACAUUCAAAGAGUGCGUAACAGCUCACUAGUCGAGAGUUCCUGCGCCGAAAAUGUCCGGGGCUGAAACACGACACCGAAACCGUGGACUCGCAAUGCGAGUGGUAGAGGAGCAUUCUUAAGACCGACGAAGCUGUACCGGAAGGAGCAGUGGAGGGAUAAGAAGAGAGAAUGCCGGAAUGAGUAGCGAGAGAAAGGUGGGAAUCCUUUCGGCCGAAUAUC